rnacentral:misc_RNA from 1 species
UUUUUUUCCCCCUAAUUUGCCUCUCUCUCUUUUGUUUAUCUAUGGUCUGUUAUUCUCUCUUAAGAAUUACCGAUAAUGAUUGAUUGCCCACGGCGACAUGACGUCCGCUGAGGUUUCCUUCCGGGAGGUUUGUCAAUGACUGACGCGCUUGUGUCGAAGAAUGCUUAGGGACGAGGACGAAGAUUCGCUGGAGAAAUGCACGGAACGCCGUCGUAGGAGAAUCGAGAUGAGGAGGCUCGCCUCCACAUCCGAAGAUGGUACGACUCCUCCGGUAAGUGAAAGCCAUGUGGAGAGUUCUAGUUGUGUUGCCAAAAGAAAGCGAAUUCGGACUGCAGAGACGGAAGGUUCCCCAGAGACAUGCUUACCAGUCUCGUCCGAAGAUAACGUGGAGAGCGAGGCGGUCAAUAAGCCACUUACCGGACCUUCUCUGGGUGAGCCGACUUUUGGGACUAUGUCAGUAGCGGGGAGGUCACGUGAGAUGGAGGAUGCAAUAGCUGCAUGCACAAGCCUUUGCAGGCCAGAGAUCAAUGGAAGGAGAACGGUGCAUUUUUUCGGUGUGUAUGACGGUCAUGGCGGGUCUCACGUGGCAGAAUUAUGUAGGGAGAGGAUGCACGUGUUCUUGGAGAGAGAAUUGAUGCGCAUGGACCACACUGACAGUAGUGAGAAUGGUGACAGUAGCAGCAGUGGCAACUCAGGGGAACGUCAACUCCAAAGACAAGGAGGAGUUGAAGAGAAGUGGAGGAGGGUGUUGAAGAGGAGCUUCGAGUUGAUGGACGAGGCGGCAUUAAGCAAGUGCGCGUGUGGGGGCGUUGGAUUCGAUUGUGGUUGCCAUCUCAUGGAGGUGGCGCUCGGAGGGUCCACUGCAGUUGUGGCGGUCUUGACUUCAGAGAACAUUGUUGUUGCCAAUUGCGGUGACUCACGCGCCAUCCUGUGCCGGGGCGGGAGGGCCGUUCCAUUAAGUUUCGAUCACAAGCCAGAUAGACCAGAUGAACUUGCAAGGAUUGAAGCUGCUGGGGGCCGUGUCAUCUUUGUGAAUGGGGCUCGUGUUGAAGGCAUUCUAGCAAUGUCCCGAGCAAUAGGGGAUAAAUAUUUAAAGCCAGUUGUGACAUCUGAGCCUCAGAUUACAUUCACAAGAAGAGAACCAGAAGAUGAGUGCUUAAUUCUUGCAAGUGAUGGCUUGUGGGAUGUUUUGUCAAGUGAGUUGGCCUGUGAAGUAGCUUGUAAAUGCCUGCAGGAAGGAAGUCCUCCUACUCUUGUGAAUGACAGGUCUCAGAUAGAUGAAGGGAAUGGGGCAUUAUAUCCAACUCGAAGCAUAUUGGCUGCGGCACUUCUCACUCGCCUUGCUUUGGGACGGAGAAGCUCUGAUAACAUCAGUGUGAUUGUCGUUGAUCUUAAGAGGAGCCGAAGAUGAUAUGAGAGUCAUCAUUCAAUGUUAAUAUCAACAUCAACUUUGUGCAGUUCUCUUGAGGGAAACAACAAGCAUAGAUAGGUUUAAUUGGGGAAUAAAAAUCUUUACAUAGAUUGAAUGCAUUCAAUCGACUUU